rnacentral:tRNA from 10 species
GGGGGUGUAGCUCAGCUGGGAGAGCACCUGCUUUGCACGCAGGGGGUCAGCGGUUCGAAUCCGCUCAUCUCCACCA